rnacentral:rRNA from 1 species
UACAGAGGUCUCAAGCGUUGUUCGGAUUCAUUGGGCGUAAAGGGUGUGUAGGUGGCGCGCUAAGUCGGGUGUGAAAUUUCGGAGUCUUAACUACCGAAACUGCAUUCGAUACUGGCUGUGCUUGAGGACUGGAGAGGAAGUACUGGAAUUGAUGGUGAGCAGUAGAAAUGCGUAGAUAUCGUGAGGAAGACCAGGUGGCGGAAGGCGGGUCUGCUUGGACAGUUCCUGACACUGAGGCAGCGAAGGACCAGGGGAGCAAACGGGAUUCAGA